AUGAUUAUGGCGAAAUAGGUAAACGCGUUCGGUUUAGGUCCGAAUCUCCUGUGGGUUCGACUCCCACUAAUCAUA
rnacentral:tRNA from 1 species